rnacentral:rRNA from 1 species
GCUUGACNUGAACCGGAACACCUAGAGAUAGGUGCCCCACUUGUGGUCGGUUUACAGGUGGUGCAUGGUUGUCGUCAGCUCGUGUCGUGAGAUGUUGGGUUAAGUCCCGCAACGAGCGCAACCCUCGUUCCAUGUUGCCAGCGGGUUAUGCCGGGGACUCAUGGGAGACUGCCGGGGUCAACUCGGAGGAAGGUGGGGACGACGUCAAAUCAUCAUGCCCCUUAUGUCUUGGGCUUCACGCAUGCUACAAUGGCCGGUACAAUGGGUUGCGAUACUGUGAGGUGGAGCUAAUCCCAAAAAGCCGGUCUCAGUUCGGAUUGGGGUCUGCAACUCGACCCCAUGAAGUCGGAGUCGCUAGUAAUCGCAGAUCAGCAACGCUGCGGUGAAUACGUUCCCGGGA